GUUGUUGAAUUAUGUUACUCCGAAGUGUCAACGCACAAAGAUGAAAAGAAAAGAAAUAAUCAUUUAUAUUUGGGAAUUGGGAGAUUAAUUUGAUUUGCUUUGGUAUGGGAGUGGAGAGGUGCAUCCGGUGGAAAAAGAUGUCCAUGAGAUUUGCAGCUUACUCAACGUGGCUAAUUUCGAAACAGUAGGGACACAAGUAUAUAAUAUGGCAAAUCUUAGGUAUUUUAGUUUUUUAAUUAAAAUAUUGCUUUAUGGUGUAUUAAUGGUUCAUGUUGAGCUUGUAUGUAUUGACUGUUUCUGCAACUCUUUUUAUUGCCUGAUAUUGCUUAAUGAAGUAGUGGAAGGUUAACUAGUUAUGAUUGUUUGAAGCAAUGUUUUACAAUUUUAUCCGUGCUUGUGCUGUGAUGAUUUAUUCAAAACUCAGGUUGUACUUUCCUUGUAUCUGAUAAUGGAGAUAUUGAUUGUAAAAUGCUGUAUUUGGAUCAAAUAAAACAGGAAAACUUUGAUCUGUGCAGUCAGUCAAGAUGCAGAAGAAUCGUUCAAAAAGACUGUAGAAGUAGAUAGGCUGAUAGAUAUGCUGAGGGAUGCAAAUCCAAGAGAACUUCAGAAGCUCAUCAUUGAAAAUGUCCUUGCUUUCAAUGAGGGAUUUUGGAUACGCCUUGCAGCUAGAACUGAUACCUGCAAAUCAGAGGAUGAUAAAGCAUGGUUUUUUACUUGGUUAUUAUAGUUUUUUUUUUUAAUGUUUCUGACGUUGAACUAUUUCCUGUCCUUGCUUUCUAAGUGAAUUGCUUGGUUACUGGCUGCAGAAAGAUUACAAGGAAUUGGCAACAUCAGUGAUGAGCAUUGUGGAUUGUCUUGUCCACAAGACUAAUGUCCUCUCUCUCUCUCUCUAACACACAGAGAGACACAGAGAAGCAUACAGUACAGUCAAGCAAAUUUUUAUGGUUUUCCUGAGUAUUUCAUCUAUAACAGCUUCAUUAUAUUUUUUUUCAUCAUUAUUUUUUUCCAUUGUAGGAAAGAAUUGAAUCAUCUACUGACGUUCUCAAAGCAAUUUUGAAACCUGUAGUUGAUGAGGAGGAAGAGAUUUCAUGGCCUCCUAGAGAUCCUGAUGCGCUCAAGCUAAUGGAGAAA
rnacentral:misc_RNA from 1 species